GUGGCGGUAACACACCAUAACUUUAGUUGUCAAACCGCCUCAAUUCAGAAGAAGAAGAAGAGGAGCAGCAGGAGGGGCAACAGUAGAAGAGAGAAUCUCACGCCCUCGUUUACACUAGUCCAUACCGCCAGGUGGCGGUAAAUACACCACAAGAACCCGAGAACCGCCUCAAUUCAAAGAAGAAGAAGAAGAAGCAGUAGAAAAGAACACGCAUGCGCAGAAGCUGUAUAUUCUCCAGACGGCACGUGGGAAUGUCUGUGCUCAGAGAAAGGUAUUGUACUUACUGAAAAAGCCAUUCGCGUUAACAAGAAAGGAAAAAAAAAAAAUCAGUGUUUCCAGAUUCUGAUUGUAAAACCUGUUUCUUAAAUCAGUUCUUCAUAUUACAAUUAUUAUCCCCAGAUGUUUCCUGUCUGCGUAAAGUCAGACUGCAGCACUGCAGACGAGCACGUGCUUGGAGGUGACGAAAAGGAGGAAGGUUAAUCUUUUUACUGCACACCAAUUCAUGGUGUUUCAAAAGAGAUCCGAGAUAGUUCAAAUCUUAAGGAAAAGAAAAGUCUGCAUUGACUGAGAUUGCCCCCUCUCCGUAAUCCCCCAGAGUCCCUGACUGCAUGGGAUUCUCGAAGGUCAAGAUCUGUUGGAGAGUUCAGUAGUACCAGAUUCUGCGUUACUGUUUACGCCUGGCUGAAUGCGCAGGUGUCACGCGUUUAACACCGAUUAAUGCAGCAUUGAUGUCAUCAUGGACCCAAUGGUUAUUGAAGUUCAUGGAGUUCCCUGCAUUCCUCCUCAUGACCGGAUGGUUGAUCAGCUAAAGAUACACUUCCUGAAGCGGAGGAAUAGUGGUGGUGAUGUUUUAACAGUGAUUUAUCCAACUUCUGCUCCAGGCCAGGCAUAUGUCAUAUUUGAAUCAACUGAAGUUCCUGGAGUCUUGGCACAUACUCAUGUUCUAGAUGUUGACAACAGAUUUUAUCCAAUACACGUAAAGAAAGCUCAUUUGUCUGAGGUGGACAUGAAAGUUAAGACCAUGCUGGACUUGAGGAUGUUCCCAAAGCCAGAAUCAGUCUUGAAGCUCCUUAACAAUUAUGGCUUUAACGUAACAGAAUCCAGUUCAGGUCAUGUCCAGUUGAAGGGCUCCUUCUUGAAACUAAAGCUCAUACACAGUGAACUCAUACAGCUUCAGGGUCACGGACAUCACUCCCAUAGUAAAUCUCCAUCUGCUAUUCACAAUGGCUCCUCUUUGGGGUAUGACAUGGAGCGUAAGAGUUUGGAUCCCAGAUUUUGUUCCAAGUCCACAUCGAGGAAUAUGGAUAAAAUGGAUGCUGUCAGUCAGCAGCAGUUACUUGAUAAUGCACUGUCAUCUUCAUAUAGAGAUUCGGCAUCUGGUGGAUCUCCCAGGAGUCUUCAAAGCAGACAUUCAUCCUACACUGAAAGAAAUGCAAGCAGCCCAAUGGAUGCUGCUGUUCAAAAAUUUCAAAGACUGGACAGCAACGAACUGCUUGCUCAGAGACGGAGCCCCCAUGCUGAUGGUGCAUCAUCAUUAUCAGCAAAUUCUCCAUCUAGUCUCACAUCGCUACACCACACAUCUCCAUUGUAUAAUGAUUCAGCCUCAGGUGGAUACCCCAGGAGUCUUCACAGCAGCUACUACUCCUCUAUUGGAAGUACUAGCUAUAAAGUGGACACUGAUAUCCCAGACUAUGUGCACACGCAACAGCAAAACGUCAUGAGCAAUGAAAUGCUUGCUCAUAGAAGGAGCCACCUUGUUGAUGUUCCAUCCUCGUCAAAAACCUCUACAUACAGCCCCACAAUGCAACACCACACAUCUUAUAGAUAUUCACCCUCAAAUGGAUCUCUUAGGAACUUCCAAGAUGAUACUAGGGCCAGGUCCACUCACACCAGUCCCUCAUCCUCCAGUUUAGGAAUGGCAAGCUUUCCAGUGGACACAGAUAUCAUAAACUUUAUACUCACCCAACGGCAGAAUGAUCUUAAGCGGAUUAGGAAGGACUAUGGUACUGAGAUGAAUAUAAAAGAUGGUGUUGGCUUUACAACGGUCACGUUUUUGGGAAAUAACAGUGAGAAAGCUGAAGCAUGUCUUCUGAACCUCAUUGAGGAGAUCGGACCUUCACUGCGCACCCAAGAAAUACAUCUGAAGGAAUAUGACAGUGUUAAAAAAAGCAGAUCCUUGAGAGAAUCGAAGGUAAUAAAGACUCGGGUGUUUCCAUCACACACACUGAUGAUGUUGUAAAGCUGGUGGGAGACUCAAGAGGAAGCUUUGAGAUGAUGCAAAAGCUACUAGGACACAAUGAUGCCUCUCAUAGAGGAAGGGCCAUGGAGAGGGGCUCAAAAUCCAGGAGAAGCUCUUCUCUACCCAGACAGUAUAAGAUGGCUGCCAAUGCCCGUGUUACCACUCCUGAAAAUCAGACAAGUGCUGCAAGAAAAUACUCUCCUUCACAUUAUCAAGAGAAAUCAGAUGAAGGAAAAGCUCAGCAGAUUGUUCAAGGCCCUGAACAGACUCCAGACAAGAAGUCCCAACGGACACGCAGCAAUUCAGAGUCUCGAGACAAAAACAGGACAACCAAGGAGCAGGCGUUACCUCAAGUGGAAUUAGAGUCGCCAGGUCGAGGAAAGAAGUCCCUAAAAGAGUAUGGCAUUAACUUCCUAAAACGACUCGAUCCAAAUACUAAAAAUAUUGAUUAUAGAAUGGCUAUGCGUAAAAAAAGUCAUUCUACACCCAAAAACCCUGACUAAAUUGCUGUUUGCUGAUAUACAGAAAGUCAGCAAAAUUAUUAAAAAGUAUUCUAUGAUCUUCAGUACACACUGUUCAUGUGCAUUUUAGGUGAUUUCUUUUAUUUUUAUAAUCAAGAUAUUUGUAAUGUUAAACAAUAAAUAAACUACAUUUCAUGGUUUUGAACAAUGUAUCCUACAAUAACUAACCAGCACUGAUUUAUUAUUUCUGGAAUAAAAAAAAAUGUAAAGUCAUGU
ensembl:lncRNA